rnacentral:rRNA from 1 species
GCGUUAUCCGGAAUGAUUGGGCGUAAAGCGUCUGUAGGUGGUUUUGAAAGUCGAUUGUCAAAAACCAAGGCUUAACCUUGGGCCGGCAAUGGAAACUUCAAGACUAGAGUAUGGUAGAGGUAGAGGGAAUUACCGGUGUAACGGUGAAAUGUGCAGAUAUCGGUAAGAACACCAAAGGCGAAAGCACUCUACUGGGCCAAAACUGACACUCAGAGACGAAAGCUAG